UACGGGGGGGGCAAGCGUUGUUCGGAAUUACUGGGCGUAAAGGGCUCGUAAGCGGCCAACUAAGUCGGACGUGAAAUCCCCAGGCUCAACCUGGGAACUGCGUCCGAUACUGGAUGGCUUGAAUUCGGGAGAGGGAUGCAGAAUUCCAGGUGUAGCGGUGAAAUGCGUAGAUAUCUGGAGGAAUACCGGUGGCGAAGGCGGCAUCCUGGACCGACAUUGACGCUGAGGAGCGAAAGCGUGGGGAGCAAACAGG
rnacentral:rRNA from 1 species